UAAUAGCCCAGAUGGCAACGGCAUCCUUUUUACUUUUUUUAUAACGUCUUUAUAAUCAAAAAAGUAAAAAGAUAUAGUGUACAGCUGGAAAAGGC
rnacentral:sRNA from 1 species